AUGGACAAGAUCCUGGAAGCAUCAUUUUUAAUUCUAUGGCUUCAACUAUGCUCGGUGAGUGGCCAAGAGAAGGGAAAAAGUGACCAACAGCAGGUGAAACAAGAUCCUCCAUCUUUGGUAGUCCAAGAAGGACAUACUUCAGUUUUGAAAUGUACUUAUGAGAACAGUGCUUUUGACUACUUCCCAUGGUACCGGCAAUUCCCUGGGAAAGGCCCUGCAUUUUUGAUAGCUAUACGUUCAGUUAAAAGGGAAGAGGAAGAAGGAAGAUUCACAGUCUUCUUCAAUAAAAGUGCCAAACACUUCUCAUUGCACAUAAGGACUUCACAGCCUGGAGACUCAGGCACCUACUUCUGUGCAGCAAGCACACAGGGCUCUCCAGGCACCUGCAGCCUGUACUGA